UCUGCAACCUACACCAAAGCUCACAGAAUGCCAGAUAUUUUAACCCACUGAAUGAGGAUAGUGAUCAAAUCCAUGUCCUCAUGGAUGCUAGUCAGGUUAUAACCCACUGAGUCACGAUGGCAACUCAAAUCUAUAAAUUAGGUUUGGUGACAAGUUCAUAAAGCAGGAUUUUGGUUAUAGAUAAAUAUAAUCAAUAUAAUAUUAUAUUAAAUUAUGGUAUUAGAGUAUUAUGAGUAUGGAGUCUAAAGUUGUGAGCUAAUAAACUGGAAAUACUUCACUUUCACUGACAGUACAACUCUGAAUAGGCCUUUUGGCAUUGGGGUCUGAUGAAAAGACAUUAGUUCUGAUAUCAAUCUAUUCAAACAAGGGUUCUGCCAUUUUCUGGCUGAGAAACAUCAAAUUCAUCGAGCCCAGUUCACUCAUUAGCAUAGUCCAGACAAUAGACUAUGUCUCAAAAGAUAGUCAGAAGGAUUAAAUAACUUAAAACAUGGAAAUCACUUAACAGUGUAGCCAGGCAAAGUAAGAAUCCAAAGAACAUUCCUAGCUUGGGAAACAGUGAAUUGGAUAUGAACUCAAAUUAGGAGGAAAAUAUAAUUGAAAGAAUUAUAAGCAUUAAAAUAAAAACAUUAAUUAUCUUAUUCAAUCUUCAGAUAGAUAUACUUGAUCAUUUUCAAGUCUACACUUCGUCAUACAUACGAAUAAACACUUCAACUACUGAGUAAAAACAUGAAGGCACAAAUAGACACUUUCCCCAACAAUCUAGCAAAGGCAUUUUCAUUACUGAAAUUGAUCACAAAUACCAUAAAGCUCUUACUUCCCUGUAAAUGAGACCCCAAGAGUCACUUUAAAAACUUGUUCCCAAAGGGUGCAUUAUAGGAAUAAUCUAUGCCUGUGAUUCCAUAUAACUAAAUGAGCACACACAUACAUCCACACACAGCAUUUAAAAGCCUGUGAUUUGCAUUUUAAAAAAUCCAGUGGGGGGACCUGGCUUGGGGGAGUCUACUUGGGUUAAAAACGCACCUAAGUAUUCAAAAAGGUCUAAAUUAAACAUUUUUUAAAAUUUCAUUAGAUGAAGACAUAAUUAAUGAGAUACUUUCAUUGGGUCAUUUGAAUAUUCUUCACCCCCCACCUCAGAAAUUGCAUUAGGUCUUGCUUACAAAUGCCAAUUUCCCCCUAUGUUUCCUUCUAUUUUUCCACAAAAAAAGGUAUGGGAACAUUUCUCUUGACUGACAUAGGAAUUGGCCACCGAUAUUGACUUUAGAGUUAUAAGCUUGGGAACUAAGUUUAUUCAGAGAAAAUCAAGUACUCUGACCUUGAAAGGAACGUUUCAAGUAUAUUCGUUUAUAAAAUCAUGAGCUUCCACAUUGCUGCAUGUGUGGAAGAUGCCAAUAUCCAGAACUCUCAUAAUUUGGGGAAGCAACAGAGAUAAGACAAAAAGGGCUAAAUUAUUUUUAUCUCAAAGAUGUGCCAUAGUCAAUUUCAACAGAGAAGUAAGGUCAAUUCUUGAAACCAAAUUGAGCUGAUAUCAUUUAGACCUAAACUUAACAGAAAAAAAAAAAAAAGUGUUUCUCAGAGGAAAAUGGACUUUUGUUUGCUUAACAAUUUUCCUCUUCAAAAAGUAUGGCCUGAGGUAAUAUGACUUAACAAAAUAAGUCCUCCCUUCCUUUUGUUCUUCUUCCUCUUUAAUAGCCCCCUGACCCCUCAAAUGUUUUCAGAGCCAGGGUAAAAAUGGCAGUGGUAGCACUGGGGGCAACAUGGAAGUCCAGGAACCAGGUCAAACUAUUCUCUUUAGAACAGCGGUUGCAGAUUGGCAGUCAGUUUUACAGGAGGAUUUGCUUUGACCCCAGUGUGCUUUGUAGAAAUCCACAUUAGUUGCUAAUAUGUAAAAAUCAGAAUAUUUCACAAAAAAAUCUUUGAAAAACUGGGAAAUCUGGCAAUGUUGGAUGGAUCCAUUGAAAUGACAACUGGCUAAACCCAAAAGCAACUCUCCCUCUCAGACAUAAUGUAUGUGCUACUUUGCAGUCAUCCUGCCACACUGGCAUAUGUUACUUGCUGGCCCCUACAGUUUGUUUCAUGAAAAUUUGAGGGGUGGUUCUGAAGAGGAUCUACAAUAAAAAAGUUAAUUAGUACAUAUGCUGAUUGUACAGCAUGGAUACACCUGUCAUCUCACUCCUGCAGUAUAAGGAUCUAUCAUUUAACAUUUUAAAAGCUGAUGAGAGUUGCUAAAUGGGAGAGUGUUUAGAUGUGAUGGGACACUGGUUCUGCAUGAAAAGAAAACUCUACAAACUAUUCCAAUAUGAUUUAAUUAGAAGCUUUUGUAAUUUGGGCAGGCAGGAUGAGCUAGAAAUUGCCUCAGCCUGAGUCAGACUAGCACCAAGAGGAACUAAAAAUGGGGUGGGAGAAGUUAUUUCAGGCCACAGGAGAGCAGAAGAGGAAGAGGAAGAAAAGGUUAGGGGUGGAAUGGUAUCCCCCAGUUCGAAGUGCACAGAAGUUUUGAUGUAAUGAUUCCUGCAUAUGUGGAUGAGCCUCUUCACUCUAUUGAUGAAGAAAAUGAAUCCUAAGUAGACUUAUCAAAGGACAUACAUGCAAAAUACCUUAGAUUCAGACAUCCUUAAUUCUUGUUGCUUUUUAAAGUCCAUGUAAACAUUUCUCCCUUAAUUGGCAGUUAUCUAAUUCUGUCAUCAUCCUACCCAUCUGUUCCUAUGAGAACUUAAUUAAAUCUAUAUCCAGGAGUACAAGUCUGAGUCAUUAAACAUUUAUUUUCAACUUCAUAUACAUAUUCAGUUUCAUGUUCUGCAAAUUGAUACAUUCCACCAAAGAAAAAAACAGAAUUCAGAAAAAUAUGACAAAAAUAUGUCAUUGCUGCAUUUGUUCAAACUCCCUCUAGAAUAGCCAUUGUGAUUACAUCUGAGAAUGAUGAUGAACUGUCACUUGACCUGAAUUUUUAGACAUUAAGAGUUUUUUUGUUCCAUAAAAAUAUUCCUAAAUAAAUAAAAACUAAACUUAAAGUUGUAAAAGGAUACCCUGAUAUAAUUUUAAAAUGAGGUAAUUAAAAUGUAAGUUUUAAAAAAGUAAGUUAAUAAGGAAAUAGCAUAUUCACGAUUAGAGUGUAUUUCCUACUAUAUCAUAAAUAUUAAUUGGGUAGUAAAAUAAAGCUGAUGGUUUCAUCUAACAGAUACUUUGCAGACCAAGUACAUGAAAAUCUAAAUGAGAUACUUGAAUAAAAAUAUCAAUUAAAUGCUGACAACUCAGAGGAGAAUCACAAAGACAGUAAAGAAACUAAAAAACACAACACAUGAAGAAUGGAUGAAUAAAUUAUUAUAAGAGGAAAAGUGUUUGGAGAGGUGAGGAUCAGGCAUGGUAACAAUCUUCAAAUGCACAUAAGGGCCUUGGAAAAAGUUUUAAUAAUGUGUUGAAAUGGGAGGCAGCAUGGUGUGGUUGGAAGAACAGUAAACUGUGGGUUAGAAACCUGCAGUUCACUGUUGGUGGGCAUGUAAAUUGGCAAAACCACUAUGGAAAACAGUAUGGAGGUACCUCAGAAAACUAUACAUAGAACUACCAAAUGACCCAGCAAUCCCAUUCUUGGGCAUAUAUCCAGACAAAACUUUCCUUGAAAAAGAUACAUGAAUCCACAGGUUCAUUGCAGCACUAUUCACAAUAGCCAAGACAUGGAAACAACUUAAAUGUCCAUCGACAGAUGAUUGGAUUAGGAAGAUGUGGUAUAUAUACACAAUGCAAUAGUAUUCAGCCAAAAAAAGAACAAAAUAAUGCCAUUUGCAGCAACAUGGUUGGAACUAGAGACUCUCAUACCGAGUGAAGUAAAUCAGAAAGAGAAAGAUAAAUACCACAUGAUACCCUUUAUAUCUGGAAUCUAAUACAUGACACAAAUGAACUUUCACAGAAAAGAAUAUCAUGGACAUGGAGAAUAGACUUGUGGUUGCCAAGGGUGGUGGGAGGGAUUGCGAUAGACUGGGAAUUUGGGGUUAAUAGACGCAAACUGUUGCCUUUGAAAUGGAUAAGCAAUGAGAUCCUGCUGUAUAACACUGGGAACUAUAUCUAGUCACUUAUGAUGGAGCAUAAGAACAUGAGAAAAGAGAAUGUAUACAUGAAUGUGUAACUGGGUCACCUUGCUGUAUAGUAGAAAAUUGACAGAACACUGAAAAUCAGCUAUAAUGGAAACAAUAAAAAUCAUUAUAAGGAAAAAAAAAAAGCGGAAAUGAAUCUGACUAGGAACCAUGAGAUUGUAGGCUCAAUUCCUGGCCUCGCUCAGUGGGUUAAGGAUCUGGCAUUGCUGUAAGCUCUUGUGUAGUUCGCAGAUGCGGCUUAGGUCCAGUGUUUCUGUGGCUGUGGAGUAGGCCAGCAGCUCUGAUUUGACCCCGAGCCUAGGACCUCCAUAUGCUGUGGCUGUGGCCCUAAAAAGCAAAAAAAAGAAAAAAAGAAACAUUUCAAGGAUUCCAAAAUCAAAUUUUUGGUUACCAAAGGGGAAGAGUUGAGGGGGAGGGAUAAAAUAAGAAGUUGGGAUUAACAUAUUCAUUCAUACUAUUAUAUACAAAAUAGAUAAGUAACAAGACCUACUGUAUAGCACAGGGAAAUCUACACAAUAGCCUCCUGUAAUAACCUAUAUGGGAAAAGAAUCUGAGAAAGAAUGGGUAUAUGUAUACGUAUAACUGAAUUCAAUUUGCUGUACACCUAAAACUAACACAUCACUGUAAAGCAACUAUAUGCAACUAUAUGCCAAUAAAAUUUAAAAAAUAAAAGAAAAUCAAAAAAAAGAAUAAAAAAAUAAAUAUAUAUCACUCAUUAUCGUACUUCAAGAGCCUCUCUCUGUGCCCAAUACAGAGCCAUUCAAUGGAUGUUUAUUUGAAAUGACUUCCAGAAAAACAACGGGGUAUUUGAUCCCUGUUUGAGCAACAAAGUCCAGUUCUCUGAAAUGUCAUUCCAGUAGGGAAUUCAUACCAGAAAUUAGUUCUUAUCUAUGGAACUUACCUUUUUUUUUUUAAUUUUUGGCUUUUUGGGGGGGGCCACGAUAUAUGGAUGUUCCCUGGCUAGGGGUUGAAUUGGAGCUACAGCUGCCGGCCUUGCCAUAGCCACAGCAAUGCCUGCAUGAUCCAAACAGAAUCUGCAACCUACACCACAGCUCACAGCAACACCAGAUUCUUAACCCCCUGAGCAAGGUCAGAGAUCAAACCCACAUCCUUAUGGAUACUAGUCAGAUUCAUUACCACUGAGCCACAAGAGGAACUUCCUGGAGCUUGCUUUUUAUCAUUAAGAUAAAAAGACAAAAUGAAAAAAUUCUCAUAGCUCUGACAGACAUUUGCAAACAAUGAUUUGAUGAUGAGAACUAAGAUCAUUGCCAUAAACAGCUUGAAUUCUACUACUAUUUGGUAUACUCAAUACUAACAAUUCAAGAACUAUCCACCUAAACAUAUAACCAAUGGGAGUAACAUCUAAAAUGAGAUCAUAAAAAUUGAAGUGUAAAUGAAAAAUAAAAAUUCUACAUGAAUCCGAGCAAUAAUCACCAUAGAUAUAAGUAUAAUUGAUUAUAAUUUGAAAUGAAACCAAAUUAACUUUUCGUUGACAAAGAAAAGACUCAGGAAGAAGGGCCAAUCAACAGUUUUCUACAUAUGCAACGUACACUAAUUAAAAGUAUAUCUGAUACACAUAUACAAAGAUAAACAUAUACAUACUUUAUCUAUCUCACAGGAAUUAAAAUUACUUAAAUUACUCUCAGGCUUC
rnacentral:lncRNA from 1 species